rnacentral:rRNA from 1 species
AUUGAACGCUGGCGGCAGGCUUAACACAUGCAAGUCGAGCGGGGUGAUGGUGCUUGCACUAUCACUUAGCGGCGGACGGGUGAGUAAUGCUUAGGAAUCUGCCUAUUAGUGGGGGACAACAUCUCGAAAGGGAUGCUAAUACCGCAUACGUCCUACGGGAGAAAGCAGGGGAUCACUUGUGACCUUGAGCUAAUAGAUGAGCCUAAGUCGGAUUAGCUAGUUGGUGGGGUAAAGGCCUACCAAGGCGACGAUCUGUAGCGGGUCUGAGAGGAUGAUCCGCCACACUGGGACUGAGACACGGCCCAGACUCCUACGGGAGGCAGCAGUGGGGAGUAUUGGACAAUAGGGGGAACCCUGAUCCAGCCAUGCCGCGUGUGUGAAGAAGGCCUUAUGGUUGUAAAGCACUUUAAGCGAGGAGGAGGCUCUUUUGGUUAAUACCCAAGAUGAGUGGACGUUACUCGCAGAAUAAGCACCGGCUAACUCUGUGCCAGCAGCCGCCGUAA